UCCAGCAAUGCCGCGUGGAUGAAGAANGGCCUAUCGGAUUGUAAAGCUCUUUUCGGCGGGGACGAUNAUAGACGGUACCCGCAGAAGAAGACCCCGGCUAACUUCGUGCCAGCAGCCGCGGUAAUACGAAGGGGGCUAGCGUUGCUCGGAAUNACUGGGCGUAANAGGGCGCGUAGGCGGAUGNCUUAGUCAGAUGUGAAAUUCCCGGGCUUAACCUGGGGGCUGCAUUUGAAACUGGUAGUCUAGAGUGUGGAAGAGGGUCGUGGAAUUCCCANGUGUAGAGGUGAAAUUCGUAGAUAUUGGGAAGAACACCGGUGGCGAAGGCGGCUACCUGGUCCCUUACUGACGCUGAGGCCCGAAAGCGUGGGGAGCAAACAGGAUUAGAUNACCCUGGUAGUCCACGCUCUAAACGAUGUGUNCUGGAUGUUGGG
rnacentral:rRNA from 1 species